CCUACGGGAGGCAGCAGUGAGGAAUAUUGGUCAAUGGACGAGAGUCUGAACCAGCCAAGUAGCGUGAAGGAUGACUGCCCUAUGGGUUGUAAACUUCUUUUAUAUGGGAAUAAAAUGUUCCACGUGUGGGAUUUUGUAUGUACCAUAUGAAUAAGGAUCGGCUAGCUCCGUGCCAGCAGCCGCGGUAAUACGGAGGAUCCGAGCGUUAUCCGGAUUUAUUGGGUGUAAAGGGAGCGUAGGUGGAGUGUUAAGUCAGUUGUGAAAGUUUGCGGCUCAACCGUAAAAUUGCAGUUGAUACUGGCAGGCUUGAGUACAGUAGAGGUGGGCGGAAUUCGUGGUGUAGCGGUGAAAUGCUUAGAUAUCACGAAGAACUCCGAUUGCGAAGGCAGCUCACUGGACUGCAACUGACACUGAGGCUCGAAAGUGUGGGUAUCAAACAGGAUUAGAUACCCCGGUAGUC
rnacentral:rRNA from 1 species